UCGACAGUCAGACAGAGAUAUGACAUUACACGUUUCACGUCCAACAAGUCGUAACUUUCAUAAGUUUCUUCGAAGUUCGAAACAAAUUAAAAAGUUAAACAAAGGAGAUCGGAUAAUGAGUCAACUGUUUAUAAUGUCAGAUAGUCAGAUUUUUAGAUAAUGAGCUGAAGUUGUUGUGUGACCUGGCCAACUGGGGCCAAUAAGUAAAGCAGCCAAUAAUGCAAGCUAUGUCUUCUGAAGCUAAAUAAUUUCUGUUGCAAGGUUAACUUUUCCCUGUCAAGUUGUAAAUCUUCAAGAUAUUGGUGCCUUCACCAGAUCCAAUUCUUUACUGCAAUCUAUUUUAAGGACACAAGCAAGAAAAUGCUGCUACUCAAGUUUUAUGGUGAACGCCAUUGAGUUCUAAUUUAGGGAAAUGUUAAUCCCUCAGCCAUUAUUAUAGUUGUUUGGAAACUGAAGAUUGAUAAUUUGUGUAGACUUAGAUAAAUUACAAGUGCAUAUCUGGGCUGGGCUCCCAGAUAUGGUUCUGGCAAUGCUAAAAGGAAAAAAUUCUAUCAACUAUUUCUGGCGGAACCCCAUAGAAAUUUUUUUAAAAGAAAGUACUUUAUUAAUUUAAUCAAAUUUUGUCAUGGUACAACUCUAGAUAAGUUAAUAAGUAUUGUAAGUGUUGUAGCUGCCUGCUCCAGUGCGGCGGUAAG